rnacentral:rRNA from 1 species
CGUCGGCGCUGGCCCCCCCUCUAGUUUUGCCGUCGAGCGGAUGACGGGAGCUUGCUCCUUGAUUCAGCGGCGGACGGGUGAGUAAUGCCUAGGAAUCUGCCUGGUAGUGGGGGACAACGUUUCGAAAGGAACGCUAAUACCGCAUACGUCCUACGGGAGAAAGCAGGGGACCUUCGGGCCUUGCGCUAUCAGAUGAGCCUAGGUCGGAUUAGCUAGUUGGUGGGGUAAUGGCUCACCAAGGCGACGAUCCGUAACUGGUCUGAGAGGAUGAUCAGUCACACUGGAACUGAGACACGGUCCAGACUCCUACGGGAGGCAGCAGUGGGGAAUAUUGGACAAUGGGCGAAAGCCUGAUCCAGCCAUGCCGCGUGUGUGAAGAAGGUCUUCGGAUUGUAAAGCACUUUAAGUUGGGAGGAAGGGCAGUAAGUUAAUACCUUGCUGUUUUGACGUUACCGACAGAAUAAGCACCGGCUAACUCUGUGCCAGCAGCCGCGGUAAUACAGAGGGUGCAAGCGUUAAUCGGAAUUACUGGGCGUAAAGCGCGCGUAGGUGGUUCGUUAAGUUGGAUGUGAAAGCCCCGGGCUCAACCUGGGAACUGCAUCCAAAACUGGCGAGCUAGAGUACGGUAGAGGGUGGUGGAAUUUCCUGUGUAGCGGUGAAAUGCGUAAUAUAGGAAGGAACACCAGUGGCGAAGCGACCACCUGGACUGAUACUGACACUGAGGU